GAUGAACGCUGGCGGCGUGCCUAAUACAUGCAAGUCGAGCGAACGGACGAGAAGCUUGCUUCUCUGAUGUUAGCGGCGGACGGGUGAGUAACACGUGGAUAACCUACCUAUAAGACUGGGAUAACUUCGGGAAACCGUAGCUAAUACCGGAUAAUAUUUUGAACCGCAUGGUUCAAAAGUGAAAGACGGUCUUGCUGUCACUUAUAGAUGGAUCCGCGCUGCAUUAGCUAGUUGGUACGGUAACGGCUUACCAAGGCAACGAUGCAUAGCCGACCUGAGAGGGUGAUCGGCCACACUGGAACUGAGACACGGUCCAGACUCCUACGGGAGGCAGCAGUAGGGAAUCUUCCGCAAUGGGCGAAAGCCUGACGGAGCAACGCCGCGUGAGUGAUGAAGGUCUUCGGAUCGUAAAACUCUGUUAUUAGGGAAGAACAUAUGUGUAAGUAACUGUGCACAUCUUGACGGUACCUAAUCAGAAAGCCACGGCUAACUACGUG
rnacentral:rRNA from 1 species